GGAGAUCUCAGCAUGUUCCGGCUGCGCCUUGGGCUUGUUUUUUUAGCCGGUUGGCUUGUACUUGUCUUUGCAAAGCCCAUAGAGGAGGAGUCACUUUCAUCGGAUCAGAAGUUUGAAUUGGAGAUGAUAAAUGAUCGAAAAGUGAAAUGCCUCCAAAAGCCAGCCUAUGGAAACUGUCACGGAAGACGCUCACUGUGGUACUUUAAUCCCAUCACAGAUAAAUGUCUGCGGUUCAAUUAUUCGAACUGUGGCGGAACCGAAAAUCGUUUCUUCACCUUUUCGGAAUGCAUGCAAAGUUGUAGUCAAUACAACUUGAGUAGUUUCAUCUUGGAAGAUCCAGAUGAUGAAUUCGAACAAUCUGUAGGGAGUUUCUAAAAGACUCUUCCAAGGUGUUAUAUAACUGAUAAGUAAUUUUAAGUAAUAUACGUAAUGCUUCAGUCCAAUAUUUGAACUAGAAGUUCUUCAAGCUA